CUGUGGAGCUGAUGAAAUCCUGCAGGGAGCUUCACGGUGACAGCAAGAGGAGAAACACAUCCCCAUAUGCCCCUCAGAGUUUGAAGUCCCGGCUGCACCUCUCCCCAGCAGCAGGUUGACUCUGGAAAGUUGCAGUGUUCUUACCUGCAGAGUGGGAACAGUACUACCCAUUGCACAGAGUGGGUGCAAAGCUCCAUGACGGAAUACAUGGAUUCUUUGCCCAUAAAGUGGAGCACGAAAGCAGGACCCAGAAUGGGAGGAGCUUCCAGAGGACCGGAACACUUGCCUUUGAGCGGGUCUACACUGCCAAGUGAGUCCUAACCCUGAUGUUGCUAACAAGUGGGGGCAUGGGCAGGGGGGCCUCCUUCUAGGAGUGAUGACCACCCUUAAUACCACAUGUCUGUCUGAGCCAAGUUUCUGAGCGCCAGGGAGGUGAGGAAGGUUGGACUUCACCAGAGAGGCUUUGUGGACACCCUUUAUCAUCUUAGUGAGUGCUAGUGUCAAAAGAAAGGGAGUGGGGAUAUGGGGCACAUUGGUGGAGGGAGGU
rnacentral:sRNA from 1 species